UCGACUAAGGUUCGAUUCGAGCGCAGCGAGAACGCGUUGCCGCAGGCAACGACCCGAAGGGCGAAGCGCGCAGCGCUGAGUCAUCCUUCCCCCACCACCA
rnacentral:sRNA from 1 species